rnacentral:rRNA from 1 species
GGGGAAUCUUGCACAAUGGGGGCAACCCUGAUGCAGCGACGCCGCGUGAGCGAUGAAGCCCUUCGGGGCGUAAAGCUCUUUCGACCGGAACGAUAAUGACGGUACCGGGAGAAGAAGCUGCGGCUAACUACGUGCCAGCAGCCGCGGUAAUACGUAGGCAGCAAGCGUUGUUCGGAGUUACUGGGCGUAAAGCGUGCGUAGGCGGUUUUCUAAGUUCGGUGUGAAAUCUCCCGGCUAAACUGGGAGGGUGCGCCGAAGACUGGGAAGCUGGAGCGUGGGAAAGGCAGGCGGAAUUCCUGGUGUAGCGGUGAAAUGCGUAGAUAUCAGGAGGAACACCGGCGGUGUAGACGGCUUGCUAGACCAUAACUGACGCUGAGGCACGAAAGCGUGGGUAGCAAA